UACGUAAAAGACUAGUGUUAUUCAUCUUUAGUAGGUUUAAAGGGUUACCGUAGACGGUAUAAUUAGUCUUAAACAAGAAACGGUUAUGCUAGAGUUAUAUAUGAGAAGGGGAGUAUUUGAUGGAGUAGAGUUGAAAUUCUUUGAUCCCAUAACGACUGGUAGCGGCGAAAGCAACCUUUUAUCUAAUAACUGACGUUGAGGGACGAAGGCUCGGGUCACGAACAGGAGUUAGAAACCC
rnacentral:rRNA from 1 species